GAGGGUAUAGCUCAGUGGUAGAGCACAUGCUUAGCAUGCACGAGGUCCUGGGCUCAAUCCCCAGCACCUCCA
rnacentral:tRNA from 1 species